rnacentral:rRNA from 1 species
UACAGAGACUGCGAGCGUUAUUCGGAUUCACUGGGCGUAAAGGGUGCGCAGGCGGCCGUGUGUGUGAGGCGUGAAAGCCCGGGGCUUAACCCCGGAAUUGCACCUCAAACUACAUGGCUAGAGCAUUGGAGAGGGAAGCGGAAUUCACGGUGUAGUGGUGAAAUGCGUAGAUAUCGGGAGGAACACCAGUGGCGAAGGCGACUUCCUGGCCUGUUCUUGACGCUGAGGCGCGAAAGCUAGGGGAGCAAACGGG